rnacentral:rRNA from 1 species
UACGUAGGGGGCAAGCGUUGUCCGGAAUCAUUGGGCGUAAAGCGCGCGUAGGCGGCCCGGUAAGUCCGUUGUGAAAGUCAAAGGCUCAACCUUUGAACGCCGAUGGAUACUGCCGGACUAGAGUCCGGAAGAGGCGAGUGGAAUUCCUGGUGUAGCGGUGGAAUGCGCAGAUAUCGGGAGGAACACCAAUAGCGAAGGCAGCUCGCUGGGACGGUACUGACGCUGAGGCGCGAAAGCGUGGGGAGCGAACAGG